GUUUGAGGGACCAUUUGCAUUUAAGUUGGCAUGCCAGGUCCAAGUUCUAAAAUGCUGGGAGUGGGUUCUCUUUCAUUUGGACAAAACAGUGGGAUGGAACUCCUUGGUGUGCAGGAUCUGGGGUACUUCGGAUGAUUUAAGGCUACAGACUACACACAAAACUAUACUGACGCCCACGCAGGAAAAAGGAAGCACCUUUUGUCAGAUGCUGUGGCCACUUCCUCUUCAGAAGGCUCCAGCCAACCUUUCGGUUUGCAGAAUGACGGGGCCCGCCGCGGUGCCGGACUGCCUGUGCACGGGGCCACCGACUGCAGCCUGGGUUUUAUUCUUGGCCUGGCCCUGACCGGGAGCUGGCCCCUCGGCUGCUUCUCUGGCUCGGGGGGGACUUUCUCUGGCUCAGAUCCGGACCCCUGAACUGGACCUGGUUGUCGUCCCCCCGCUUCUCAGCCCCCUCUGGGGUUCCUCUCUCCUCUCCGCCCACUCUUUGCUCACUGCCCCAUGUCCCUCGGUCAGUCGGCCUGUCUGUUCCUCUCUGUAGCUCGGUCAAGGAGUGUGAU
rnacentral:sRNA from 1 species